rnacentral:lncRNA from 1 species
CAUUCUAUUUAGGUUCUGAUUUAAUUGGUCUGGAGUGUUGGCUUGGCAUUAAAAAAUUUUUUAACUCCCCAGGCAAUUCUAAUCAGCAGCCACAGCUGAGAACCACUGCUCCAUUAGGUGUAAACCCUGCACCACCUCUAUGGUCAGAUUGGGAUGGAUAGAAGAAAGUGCACCAUGAAGAGGGGAAUGGGAAGCACAAAGUCAGGCAUUGUAAUUUGAAAGAGAUCUAGAGAAACCUUAAUUUUGUUACCUACAGAAGAGAAUUGGGAAUCAAAGUCACAGAACUGAAGCAGAGGAGACAGUUGCAGAGUAGACAUUUCGUCUCCAUUUGAUGUCUAGAAGAACUAAAAAUCGGAUGUGGUUUUCCUCAGGAAAGACAAAGGAAGAAAUGAAUGAGGUAUUUCCAACCGCUACCUCAAGACUCCAAAAUAAAGGAUUCUGCUGAUGAACUGAAAUGUAGCUCGUUUUUAAAUACAAAAGAGUGGUGCUUCUCAUCUCAUGAAGGUCUGCCAAGGCAUCUCUGCUUCAGGCUACAGGAUCAGUUCUGGCAUAUUACACAUAUCUCAUUCUGGGAAUAGCAGCUCCUCAAGGGCAUGCUCUUUGCAUGGCAGAGAGAGAACUCUUCAAAGGGAUUGCCACAUUCUUUGCCAUGCCAUUGAUGGCCUUAGCUUAACUGGCAUACUAUUAUUUUCACCCACAUUUAACUGGUGAAAGAAAGUCAGAUGGCCAAGUCCAGCAUGAGAGAAGUAUACUCCACCCCAUGGAAGCCAUGACAAUGAUUGACAGGUAAGGACAAAUUGUGAACAAAUAAUAUAAUCUACUGCACCAACCCCCUAUUCAACAUCUUCCAAAAAACAUCUCAAAUAAAAAUCUCCCAACUUCUGAUGGAAAAAAUUGA